UCCUGUGGCUCUAUGUGGAAUUGUUUGGAGACCACUGGUCUAAUAGUUUAAUUUAAUACAGUAAAUUAAACAACAUCAAUUCUUGUCAUCAAAUCAUUUCACUUUUUCAUCCAUUCAUUCAUCUUAUGGACCGCUUAUCCUCACGUGGGUUGCUGGGGUGCAGGAGCCUCUCCCAGCUAACAACUGGCAGGAGGCAGGGUACACCCUGAACUGGUAAUCAACGACCAGAGGCUGUGCCUGCUUCACUUACCUCUGGCAGACAGGUGUACUGUCCAAGAAAUGCAGCUGGCUGGACAAAGGGAAUGGAGAGCUCACACAGGGAGCAUACCUGGGGUAGCGGCAACCUGUUGCUCCGAAGCCCGCCUCUUCCCCUCCCCGUCCAUGUAGGAGCUUAGUGCCCGAGAGAAGUGCUCAUCCACCACACUGCUGAUGUCCCCCUGGUAGUAGGUGAAGAGUACACAGCGCGAGCUCAGAUACUCUGCCUCGGGGCCCUCCUGCUUGUCCUUGGGGCCCUCGUCAGGGCGCGGGGCAGCCGGUGUGUAGGAGGACGACGAGGAAGAGGAGGAAGAAGAAGAAGAUGACGCUGAUGAAGAAGACGAGGUCGCCGAUCCGCCCACGGUGCCCUGGACGGCGGACAUUCCCUCAGCACACCUGGGAUUGUCCAUAAAAUCCCGGCACGGAGGUGACAUCAUGGAGCCCUGCAGUUAUUUUUAUUGGCUGGUGGCGAGCCAGCUCUUCUCCAAGCCACGCCACCUGUCCCACUCCGCAGCAGGCAGGCGGGCAGCUGCCCUCCGGAGACAAGUAGAGCACUCAAAAGUGAUUGAGAGUUGAAAAGCUGAA